GGUUCGAUUGUAUUUGUUACAGCUAUUGUGUAGCGGAUAUAUUUAGACUAGGUUUUGUACUUUCCUCUCUCCCGUUUGAGCUUUAUCGAUGUACAGAAUUGAUCACAAACUGGUGUGUAUACCUAUCAAGUUUAAUAGAGAGUUAAUGUCGUCAAAGGCCAGAAACAGGGAUCUGUAUUCUUGAACAAUAUGGCGAGGAAUAUUUCAAGUGUGUUUAAAACGGCGACAAGAACUAUGACGCAAAAGUUAAUAUUGAUGACGUCAGUUUUACUUCUUCUGAUUCCUGGACUGGAAGCAGACUCUUCAAAAGAAGAAGAUCCAAGUAUUUUGACUUUUGUUGACGAGGCUUUGUUUUAUAUAUCGGCUUUAUGUUUAGUUGUUGUUUGUUUUGUGUUUUUCUUAAAAACCUUCAAGACGUAAUUAAAAAGAAAUUAUUAUUAAGAUGUCCUACUACCACAAACAAAUUGGAUAAUUUGGUGACUCCUAUACAACCGGUGCACGUGGUGUUUUUUCCAAACAGACAUUAACAACAUCAACAACUUGAGAUGGUGAAACAGCAGGUUGAAGAGCUAUCUCGGCCAUAGUGAGAAGCUGAAGGUCAAAGGAGAUGGAUUUAACCUUACACAUUUAUAAGUAGUAAGACAUUGAUGAAUUCUUGUACUUCUGAUGCAGUUAAUUCAACGUUUUAUUUAACAUAUUAGAACAAAGAUGAUGUUUUCAAAUACAGUGGAUCAAAUACACCGGAUCAAAUGUAGUUGAUCAAAUAUACUGGAUCAAAUAUACUGGAUCAAAUAUACCGGAUCAAAUAUACUGGAUCAAAUAUACCGGAUCAAAUAUACUGGAUGACAUAUACUGGGUCAAAUGUACUUGAUCAAAUAAACUUGAUCAAAUAUACUGGAUCAAAUAGAAUCAAUCAAACUACUGGACAAAGUGUACUGGAUCAUACUUAGAGUCAUUACAUGUUCAAUAAAUUGCUAUGUGCUUGAACAAACAUCAAAUUGUUGAUGUUUAGACCAAUCAGAGCAAUGACGAUGCUUAUUAAACGUGUUUGAUCAAGCAUGCUGCAUCAUUUACACAUCAUAUGAGAUGGCGGUAACUUUUCUGGGGAUUUAUCUCGUCUCCGAGGUUUGUCUUUAGCCAAGUUCUCCUCUCGAAUAGCGGUAAUAGUCUAGUAUAUACAAAUGUAGUUAUUGUUCAUGUCUUUCGUUGUUUUUCAUUAUUUAAAAUUUACUAUGAAACUCUUGCAGGUAUUGAUUACAGUAGAGCUGUAUCUCCUAGCAUGAAGUAAAAUCUGUCCCUUGCA